AGAGAGUAGAUGGCGUGUUUGCUGCCAACAGCCAUGUUAUAGCUGCCUGGUUUCCACCAUCUUCACUGAAUCCGAUGCAACACCUGCCGGAAAAUGCAGCAAACCUCCAAUGGCUUCUCCUUCCAGUGUGGGAACCUGGACACUGGACACUCUGUGUCUGAACAACAGAGGUCGCAAGACUGCAAGAGGCGACGGGAGGAAAAGGCAAUGCAGGAUGAAGAGGUUGUGAGGUUCCACAAAAGAAGCAGGCCAUAAUUUGAAUGCGUCAUGAGUGAGCGCUGCUGGGGGGUUCACUAAUGCCUCAAAAUAUAUUAGUUGUCAUGAUCUGUCUGUAUUAUUUUG